GACGAACGCUGGCGGCGUGCUUAACACAUGCAAGUCGAACGGAAAGGCCCUGCUUUUGUGGGGUGCUCGAGUGGCGAACGGGUGAGUAACACAUGAGUAACCUGCCCUUGACUUUGGGAUAACUUCAGGAAACUGGGGCUAAUACCGGAUAGGAGCUCCUGCUGCAUGGUGGGGGUUGGAAAGUUUCGGCGGUUGGGGAUGGACUCGCGGCUUAUCAGCUUGUUGGUGGGGUAGUGGCUUACCAAGGCUUUGACGGGUAGCCGGCCUGAGAGGGUGACCGGCCACAUUGGGACUGAGAUACGGCCCAGACUCCUACGGGAGGCAGCAGUGGGGAAUAUUGCACAAUGGGCGGAAGCCUGAUGCAGCAACGCCGCGUGCGGGAUGAAGGCCUUCGGGUUGUAAACCGCUUUCGCCUGUGACGAAGCGUGAGUGACGGUAAUGGGUAAAGAAGCACCGGCUAACUACGUG
rnacentral:rRNA from 1 species